rnacentral:rRNA from 1 species
CCCGGUGUAGGUCGCUUGCUUCCCCGGCUCGGUCGCAGGUGGAUGUUGCAGCGUUGGAGUCAGCGGAGGGGAAGAGGGUGGAUUCCUUGGGAUCGGCGGCGCCGGAGGAGGAGGAGGGUCCAGGGUGGAGUCGGCGGAGGGUGUAGGGGGGAGAGGGAGAGGGGGGCAGAACAGACGAGGCCCACGCCUCCGCUCGAAGAGCCGCUAACACCGCGACCGAGCUCCGCCCGUGCGUCGGUGAGGAAGAGAGGGAAGGUGGCGGCGAGCAGCGUCGAGGCGGAGGGGCGGAUCGUCGCCGGUCUCUUCCCGACGAGGCGGCGGGGCGGAGUAGAGGAGAAGGAGAGUAAGACUCCCGCGGUCCUCGUACCGGAGUUAGACCUCGUCCUCUCCGGCCCUCACUAUACCCUCGUCGAGCCGAGGUGGGGCUACCACUGGCUACGCGAGUCUGAACACCGGGCCAGAGCGGCGGCGCGCGUCAGGUGGAGAGGGGCGUCCGUACGGCCGGUGGAGGGGUGGACUGCGUGUAGAAGGGGUACCCCGUUACCUUGUGCCACUCGUCGUCCAUCCUCGCACGCCACGACUCUUCCGGCCGAGGCAGGACGAGAACACGGUGGCGGCUGGGUGGGCUCUUCGGGCAGGUGUGUGGGCAGCCGAGGAGGAGUCGAGCAAGGGUAGAGACCGUCCGUCCACUCGAGGACGAAGGAGAGGGACAAAGGGAAACUAAAACACGACCGCAACAUGACACACAAAUACAACAACGAAACACUCUAUACCGAUGAUGAACACGACGAUGUACACACACAACGACCAAGACCACGACGUUUCGGACCGACGACAAACAGGACUGCGAAACACGAUGAUCAACGACGACCAACGAACACAACGACCAUACACGAUGUGACGACGAUGAACGACAAACAACGAAGGAACAAACCAAUAAACACUUUGACUUUAAGAAACACUUUUCUUUUAAAACUUCUAUUCCGAUAUUCGACUACUCGACUGGAAGUAAAGGUAAAAAAUAAAUUAUUAACUACUUCCUAUACAGUAUAUAAGUCAACGAUUGUAAAAGAGAGAUACCAUAUUCUCUCCGAAGCCUGCACUUCCGUCAUCGUGCGUCGCGGUCUAGCUCGCGUGUAUGGAACUGCUGUUCUCUGGUCAUGUGAAUUGUUCGGGGUUUUAUGAUGAUACACUAAUCAAUUUAAGUCACGACAUCACUACGGAAACAAGAAGUCAAUUUAAAAAAAUCAUGCUCCUUGGUCAUCACAGGGGAGACAAGAAGUCAAUUUAAGUCAACUAUGUAAUACCAUAAAUGUUGUUGAGGUACAAUAGAACAAAACACAACGUCGCUCAAGGUGCGUAAAACUUCGAUGCUGGCGAUCUUUGGUCACUUCUUACUUCUUUCCUCCUAGAUGGUCGUCGAAGCUCAUCCUCCUACUCUAGAACUACCUCAAGUACAAAGUCGUUGGCAUCAUCGCGUAGGAGACUGGAGCUGGAUCAGGCGGCACUACCUUUUGCAUUAUAAGGUUGUUUUCACGAAGGCCUACGAUGCUACUCUAUCGCGAACCGGAAGGUUCGCGUCGAUUGAGUUGUGUGUUCCGUUCCUGGAGCUCCGUUCACAAAUUAAGAUAGGUAACUCAUGGUCGAUUUAUUACUUGAACGUUUCUGUAAUUAUAGGUAGAUACAGAUACUUUGACGGGCUCCGACUUCUAACCGACCGUCUGCUUGGAGAAUUUAUGUACCUUCAGAGAAUGUUGUUUCACGACGUUCUGUAGUUAAUACUAUUCAACAUCAACCAACUUGUUUUUCAUUAAGAGACCUUGUGCUCGACUUUCUUUUUCUACCUUAGUAUCUGAUAAACUCCUCGUCGACCACCUACUACAGAUACCUUCUGUAAAGACGAAAACGGUUAGUGUUGGGCGGCGUUGUGUGGGUGGUACUUCUCGUCGAAUCUACUACUCCAUUAAAAGCUGUGCGACCAUGUACGAGAUGCAUUAGAUUUAUGACGUAUAGAAUCAAUGGUAUUCGACCCACUAGUUUCGAUAGAUAUACUACGUGGAGACGGAUAAUCGAUUAGAGUAGGGAAAGAAAACCGGAUACAAGAAUAAACUGUUUCGACUUCCUUCGUGCAGGUCUAACCAUGAGACCUACCACUCCAAUCUAAUUAACUGGUGUUAAAGAUAACUGAAAAGGACAUGUGUUACAAGUGUUCAAGUACAUAAUUCAUGUAAAAUCGCACAGUGAACACAAAUGAGGAAAAAAUUACGUUCAAAUGUCGAUGAGCCUCAAGGAUUAACGUCUGAGUUGAUAGAACUGGAUGGCUACUAGAUUAAACAC